UACGGGGGGAGCAAGCGUUGUUCGGAUUUACUGGGCGUAAAGGGCGCGUAGGCGGCCACCGCAAGUCGGUUGUGAAAUCUCCGGGCUUACCCGGAAAGGUCAACCGAUACUGCGGGGCUAGAGUGCAGAAGGGGCAACUGGAAUUCUCGGUGUAGCGGUGAAAUGCGUAGAUAUCGAGAGGAACACCUGCGGCGAAGGCGGGUUGCUGGGCUGACACUGACGCUGAUGCGCGAAAGCUAGGGGAGCGAAGCGGG
rnacentral:rRNA from 1 species